rnacentral:rRNA from 1 species
GGAAAGGCGCGCGAUACAGGGUGACAGCCCCGUACACAAAAAUGCACAUGCUGUGAGCUCGAUGAGUAGGGCGGGACACGUGGUAUCCUGUCUGAAUAUGGGGGGACCAUCCUCCAAGGCUAAAUACUCCUGACUGACCGAUAGUGAACCAGUACCGUGAGGGAAAGGCGAAAAGAACCCCGGCGAGGGGAGUGAAAAAGAACCUGAAACCGUGUACGUACAAGCAGUGGGAGCACGCUUAGGCGUGUGACUGCGUACCUUUUGUAUAAUGGGUCAGCGACUUAUAUUCUGUAGCAAGGUUAACCGAAUAGGGGAGCCGAAGGGAAACCGAGUCUUAACUGGGCGUUAAGUUGCAGGGUAUAGACCCGAAACCCGGUGAUCUAGCCAUGGGCAGGUUGAAGGUUGGGUAACACUAACUGGAGGACCGAACCGACUAAUGUUGAAAAAUUAGCGGAUGACUUGUGGCUGGGGGUGAAAGGCCAAUCAAACCGGGAGAUAGCUGGUUCUCCCCGAAAGCUAUUUAGGUAGCGCCUCGUGAAUUCAUCUCCGGGGGUAGAGCACUGUUUCGGCAAGGGGGUCAUCCCGACUUACCAACCCGAUGCAAACUGCGAAUACCGGAGAAUGUUAUCACGGGAGACACACGGCGGGUGCUAACGUCCGUCGUGAAGAGGGAAACAACCCAGACCGCCAGCUAAGGUCCCAAAGUCAUGGUUAAGUGGGAAACGAUGUGGGAAGGCCCAGACAGCCAGGAUGUUGGCUUAGAAGCAGCCAUCAUUUAAAGAAAGCGUAAUAGCUCACUGGUCGAGUCGGCCUGCGCGGAAGAUGUAACGGGGCUAAACCAUGCACCGAAGCUGCGGCAGCGACGCUGAUGCGUUGUUGGGUAGGGGAGCGUUCUGUAAGCCUGCGAAGGUGUGCUGUGAGGCAUGCUGGAGGUAUCAGAAGUGCGAAUGCUGACAUAAGUAACGAUAAAGCGGGUGAAAAGCCCGCUCGCCGGAAGACCAAGGGUUCCUGUCCAACGUUAAUCGGGGCAGGGUGAGUCGACCCCUAAGGCGAGGCCGAAAGGCGUAGUCG